rnacentral:sRNA from 1 species
AUUCUGCCCAAGCGGGGAAGGAUGAGAAGCUUCGACCAAGGUUCGACUUGAGCGCCAGCGAGAGAGCGUUGCCGCAGGCAACGACCCGAAGGG